GAAAGGAGAAGAGUUGUUCUCUUUUGCUGGCAUGAAUAUGAUAUUAGGAAGUCAAUCACCGGUUUCAAAAAGGCAAAGAAAAACGAUGCAGCAUAUAAAGAAGAAAUGGGAGCACACAUCGACACAAAGAAAAUUGGUUUAAAGGACAUCCUUAUUCAAAACUGUGGUGAGCCACCUAAACACAGCAUUUGCUAAAGAAGGUGGACAAGCAAUUUGUCAAUAAGACAAUGACAUAAAUAGAUGACAUAAUUGUACAGUGGACAAAAAGUCCGCAGAGGUUCAAAUGGCCGGUUUUGAAGAUGAUACCACACCACAAGAGGAAAAAUUUGACUCUGACUAACUACACUAGUGAAAAAAGAACGAUAUUUAACAUCUGUAAAACUAUUAUUAUCCCGCUAUCCUAAAAUGGGACAUUUAUCAAUGUAUUCUGACAAC